GGGGCUAAUACCGGAUGUGGUCCCGAGACCGCAUGGUUUUGGGAUUAAAGCUGACCUCUACUUGUAAGUUUGCACUUGGAGAUGGACUUGCGCACCAUUAGCUAGUUGGCAGGGUAAUGGCCUACCAAGGCUGUGAUGGUUAGCCGACCUGAGAGGGCGAUCGGCCACAUUGGGACUGAGAUACGGCCCAGACUCCUACGGGAGGCAGCAGUAGGGAAUUUUGCGCAAUGGACGAAAGUCUGACGCAGCGACGCCGCGUGAGGGAUGAAGGUCUUCGGAUUGUAAACCUCUGUUGAGUGGGAAGAAAACGUCCGCGGGUAAUAUCUGCGGGCCUUGACGGUACCGCUCGAGGAAGCCCCGGCUAACUACGUGCCAGCAGCCGCGGUAAUACGUAGGGGGCAAGCGUUGUUCGGAAUUACUGGGCGUAAAGGGAGUGUAGGCGGGGAGAUAAGUUAGGAGUUUAAUGCUCAGGCUCAACUUGAGACCUGCUCUUAAGACUGUCUCUCUUGAGUAUGGGAGAGGGUGAUGGAAUUCCAGGUGUAGCGGUGGAAUGCGUAGAUAUCUGGAAGAACACCAGUUGCGAAGGCGGUCGCCUGGCCCAAUACUGACGCUGAGGCUCGAAAGCUAGGGGAGCAAACAGGAUUAGAUACCCUGGUAGUCCUAGCCUUAAACGAUGGACACUAGAUGUUGGAGAAGUCAAUCUCUUCAGUGUCGUAGCUAACGUGAUAAGUGUCCCGCCUGGGGAGUACGCUCGCAAGGGUGAAACUCAAAGGAAUUGACGGGGGCCCGCACAAGCGGUGGAGCAUGUGCUUCAAUUCGAUGCAACGCGAAGAACCUUACCUGGGUUUGACAUGGGAGUGAAAGUCGCCAGAGAUGGUGGCCCUUCCGCAAGGAACACUCCACACAGGUGCUGCAUGGUUGUCGUCAGCUCGUGUCGUGAGAUGUUGGGUUAAGUCCCGCAACGAGCGCAACCCUCGCUCUUAGUUGCCAUCAGGUAAAGCUGGGAACUCUAAGGGGACCGCCUGUAAUAAACAGGAGGAAGGUGGGGAUGACGUCAAAUCAUCAUGGCCCUUACGUCCAGGGCAA
rnacentral:rRNA from 1 species